rnacentral:rRNA from 1 species
AACGAACGCUGGCGGCAUGCCUAACACAUGCAAGUCGAACGAGACCUUCGGGUCUAGUGGCGCACGGGUGCGUAACGAGUGGGAACUUGCCCUUAGGUUCGGAAUAACUCCCUGAAAGGGGUGCUAAUACCGGUUAAUGUAAUAGGACCAAAGAUCUCUCGCUUUUGAAUGGGCGCGCGUUGGAUUAGCCAGUUGGUAGGGUAAAAGCCUGCCAACGCGACGUUCCAUAGCUGGUCUGUUACGAUGAUCAGCACCGCUGGACCUGAGACGCGGCCCAGACUCCGACGGAGGGCAGCGGUGGGGUGUAUAAGACGAUGAGCGAAGGCCUAGUCCAGCAAUGCCGCGGGAGAGAGGAAUGCGUUAGGGUUGUAAAGCUCUUUGACCCGGGAUGUUAGUGACGGUACCGGGAGAAUAAGCUCCGGCUAACUCCGUG